rnacentral:piRNA from 1 species
UAACACACAAAGCAAACCUUUGAGUCCGCGU